GUAGAAGAAGAAGAAGAAAAAUCACGGCUUAUCUGGUCAUGGCUACGCACAGAACCUGUCGAUGCUUGAUGCUGUGGUCAAACGGCUCCCUGGCUGUGCAGCUGCUCCCUGCAGACCUCAGGAUCUUCCUUCAGCACAAACACUCAGCAUUCCAACUGUCUUUCAUUACAAGUUUGUUCAUUGUUUAGUCGGUCAGCAACAGUUGCAAAAGUGACCCAUCCUUUGGCUUUUAUGCAUCUUUUAACAAUGAGUAAAUUACUAAAACAGUUGCUACAGCCUCUGUAGGACACAUCAGUUAUUAGAUUUGUCAGAGUUUCCUCAGGUAAAACUAGUGAUCUCAUGCCUUGUCUUUGAUCCUGUUCUGAGCUUAUUCAAAAUCCACACUGUAACAGGCUUAAUUAAAUAUUAAUAGAAAUUAAAAAAUAAUUAAAUAUUA